AUCCAAAUAUAAAAUAAAUAUCGGAUGCAGAUAAAAUAGGGAGGUGGUUAUCUAUUCAAUUCUACUAAGCUUGAAGCGACUACAAAAGACACGAUAUCUUUCUUCUAACAAUAAGCUUAAACAUGGAACAUUCAGAGAGCGAUUUAAUUUUUUUUUAAACCGUGUUAUUUAAACUGAAUGGUUAGUACUCUUACUAGGUAACUGGCUUUGAGCUGGGAAAGCGAGGAUGUUUUUGUUUUGAUGAACUUAAUAAAAUAAUAAGAAAACAAUCGAAUUUUUUGUUGCAAACAGUUUGGGAACAUAAUUUUGUAGUAUAUUUUGUUUUUGAUGUUUUCUAUAAACAUUUUUUUUUUUAUUAUUGAGAAAGCAUACAAUAUGGAACUUAAGCUAACUUAUCCAAGUUAUUUUGGAAUUGGUGGCAAGAAUACUGGCUGCAUUUCCGCGCUGUACAGCCAGGCUGAUCCUUAGCGCAAACAAUGAGCCAGCCCUUCUGUCACCAGUCGAGGCAACUAGCAGCGGUGAAAUUAUUCGGUAAAAUUUUUUGGCACUGCGACUCCAUGGGCCAAGGGUCUCCACGGCAAAAGGUAAAACUAUAUAUUUUUAUCCUAUGUGACAAAACCAUUUAAGCAUACCUUUCUCGAUCUUCGUCAUCUUCAUCUUCUUAAUUAUACCACAACUUUCUAAUCUUUCAUGGUGUACCUAAUACGGUAUAACGGUACUUUAAAAACGCUCUGUAUGGCACUGUGUCCUCUGUAUUAUACCGGGAAGAAAGUGUGUGGGUGUAUUCCCUUAUAUACAGCGGGAAUACAACAGCCCGCCAUUGUUCUUAAUAACUUCACGGCGAGAGCAGUGUAUAAGCAUUGUAUGUCAUAAAUUUACUGAAUAAAAGUGCAUAUUUAUUCUACAGUUCGAGGUCAUAGAAGUGAAAAAAUAAUGAAGUUUAUUAAAGCAUGCCUUCUUCUCAUUGUUGUUCUAUUUGUGAUUUUUGCUGCGGACGCUUACCCGUUUAGAAAUGGCAACAUAGAUUAUUUAGAAGCUCUGCGUCGAAUGAGACAGAUUCCUCAGUGGCACUGCAUGAGAUACCGCCGCUUCCAACUGCACAGUCCAUGCCGCUGGUGGAUGAUGAGAAAGUUGUGAUAUUCAAGCAAACGGCGGUAUUUUUACCGAUACUGAAGCAAUAGCCAAAGCAUGUACGCGUGUCACGAGUCAAAUAAGCGUUUUUAUUGAUACUCGAAGAUUUUUGUAUCUCAUAAUCAUUAUUUUUAUUUUAAAGUUAAGACACUUCAUUUUUUGGAUGAUAGUUAGUCAAUCUAUGCUCCUAUCAUAUGUAUGUAUAUGUAAGCACGGCAGGCAACUAGGGAGUUAAAAGCAGAAAACAACGUUAUACAUUUUGACGAUCUCACUGGCACAGUUGGUUGUGCCUUGGUUCUCAACAGAGAGGUCCUGGGUUUGAUUCAGUUUAGGAUUUAACAUUUUGUAAAUUGGUGAUUUUGUAGGCUACGUGCCUAACUAAAUUGUCUCUUCAUCCGUUCGGGAGCUAUGGUGCCAAAGACAGAUUGACAGACAGAAAGACAGACAGACAGACACGUCAAACUUUUUCCGUCGGGGGUUAAAAAUAAUCAUUGACUGUAGCUAUGAUAUGAGCGUGGACUAAUAAACUAUCUGCCUCCGUAGAAUGAGGUAUGUCUGGGUAACGCAGGCUCAAGUUCUAUAGGACAUGUGCCAUGUCCACGAUUUUGUACUAUUAGAUAUGUUACGUGACUACAAAAUCACCGCAAAAAGUGAUCCGAAUUUCACUACUUCACUGAGCGCACAUAUGCACAACUUUUUAUACUUACAUUAUAAUAUAUUUACGUAUACAUAGUUUUUACACUUUCUGAACACAACUCGAUAUUGUAGACAAUAUUUAGGUAUUAUUUGUAUAAAUAAUUUUCGUAUGAAAACGAUUCUGUUCUGAUGCGUCACAACACGACACGUCAGACAAACGUAAAUCCGGCUUAAUAAAUACAUAGUUAAUUAAAAAUGUAUAAUCAAACAUUGCAUUUAUACCUAUCAUAAUUUUUAAGAUUAAGAGCAAUUAAUAAAUACUUUGGAUGUACUUAUCACGAUGUACAGAUUUUUCCUGUAUUUAAUCAAAUUGAAUAUUGUACCUAAUUUAAUGUAGAAUAGGAAAUUAAAGUUAAAAUAAUUGAAUUAUG